rnacentral:rRNA from 1 species
UACCAGCACCCCGAGUGGUCGGGACGAUUAUUGGGCCUAAAGCAUCCGUAGCCGGUUCUGCAAGUCUUCCGUUAAAUCCACCUGCUUAACAGAUGGGCUGCGGAGGAUACUAUGGAGCUAGGAGGCGGGAGAGGCAAGCGGUACUUAGUGGGUAGGGGUAAAAUCCGUUGAUCCAUUGAAGACCACCAGUGGCGAAGGCGGCUUGCCAGAACGCACUCGACGGUGAGGGAUGAAAGCUGGGGGAGCAAACCGG